GCUGCUCUGCGUGGUGUUCGGGUUGGCCGCAGGCCUCAUCACGUCGUAGUCCUCCGGGAAGCUCUCCGGCGGCCUCUCGGCGUCGAAGGCACCCGCCAGGCGGUGCUUAAUGGAACCCAGGUAGGGGGUGGACGGAAGGGUUAAGGAGACGUUGUUGAUGGACCACUUGGUGUACCCGUUGAGCUUGUUCUGGGUGUUCAGCAGGGCGAUUCGCCGGGUGGCGGAAGCUGGGGGCCUCUCCGUUCCUUUGAGCGCGAGGAUCCUGUAGGUGAAGGCCUUGCUGUGGGCGUAGUCGUUCCACAGCGGCGAGACGGGGGGCUUGGAGGUGGGAAGCUUGGAAGACGAGUUGGG
rnacentral:lncRNA from 1 species